rnacentral:tRNA from 1 species
GUGGAGUUAGCUCAGUUGGUAGAGCAGUCGGUUGAAACCCGAUGCGCGUAGGUUCGAUUCCUACACUUCGCACUGU